AUACGUAGGGGGCGAGCGUUGUCCGGAAUGAUUGGGCGUAAAGGGCGUGUAGGCGGCCUGUUAAGUCUGAAGUGAAAGUCCUGUUUUCAAGAUGGGAAUUGCUUUGGAUACUGGCGGGGCUGGAAGCAGGGGAGGGUAUCGGCAAUUUCCGGGUAGCGGGGGAACUGGUAGAGAUCGGGAGGAACGCCAGUGGAGUAGACGGGUAACUGGUCUGCAACUGACGCUGAGGCGCGAAAGUGUGGGGAGCAAACAGGAUGAGAUACCCUGGUAGUCCUAACUGUAAACGAUGGAUGCUAGGUGUAGGGGGUAGCGACCCUUUCUGUGCCGCAGUAAACACAAUAAGCAUUACGCCUGGGUAGUACGGCCGCAAGGUUGAUGCUCAAAUGAAUUGACGGGG
rnacentral:rRNA from 1 species